rnacentral:rRNA from 1 species
AGAACGAACGUUGGCGGCGUGGAUUAGGCAUGCAAGUCGCGCGAAUCCCAGCAAUGGGGGAAGCGGCGUAAGGGGCAGUUAGGCGUGGGUAACCUACCCCGGGGCCUGGGAUAGCCCGUCGAGAGACGGGGUAAUACCGGGCGACGUGGUUCGGUGGCAUCAUCGGACUUCCAAAGGUCCGCCGCCCCGGGAGGGGCCCACGUGGUAUUAGCUAGUUGGUGGGGUAACGGCCCACCAAGGCGUAGAUGCCUAGCGGGUGUGAGAGCACGACCCGCGCCACUGGCACUGAGACACUGGCCAGACACCUACGGGUGGCUGCAGUCGAGGAUCUUCGGCAAUGGGGGCAACCCUGACCGAGCGACGCCGCGUGGAUGAUGAAGGCCUUCGGGUUGUAAAAUCCUGUCGAGGGAGGAAAGGCAACUUGACCUAUCCCUGGAGGAAGCUCGGGCUAAGUUCGUGCCAGCAGCCGC